rnacentral:rRNA from 1 species
UGUCCGGAAUCCCGAAGAGAUUUGGGAGUGCUCGCAAGAGAACCGGAACACAGGUGCUGCAUGGCUGUCGUCAGCUCGUGUCGUGAGAUGUUGGUUAAGUCCCGCAACGAGCGCAACCCUUGUCAUUAGUUGCCAUCAUUUGGUUGGGCACUCUAAUGAGACUGCCGGUGACAAACCGGAGGAAGGUGGGGAUGACGUCAAGUCCUCAUGGCCCUUAUGGGUAGGGCUUCACACGUCAUACAAUGGUCGGUACAGAGGGUUGCCAACCCGCGAGGGGGAGCUAAUCCCACAAAGCCGAUCGUAGUCCGGAUCGCAGUCUGCAACUCGACUGCGUGAAGUCGGAAUCGCUAGUAAUCGUGGAUCAGCAUGUCACGGUGAAUACGUUCCCGGGUCUU